rnacentral:rRNA from 1 species
GCAAGUCGAACGCACUCUCGUUUAGAUUGAAGGAGCUUGCUCCUGAUUGAUAAACAUUUGAGUGAGUGGCGGACGGGUGAGUAACACGUGGGUAACCUGCCCUAAAGUGGGGAUAACAUUUGGAAACAGAUGCUAAUACCGCAUAAAACCUAACACCGCAUGGUGUAGGGUUGAAAGAUGGUUUCGGCUAUCACUUUAGGAUGGACCCGCGGUGCAUUAGUUAGUUGGUGAGGUAAAGGCUCACCAAGACCGUGAUGCAUAGCCGACCUGAGAGGGUAAUCGGCCACACUGGGACUGAGACACGGCCCAGACUCCUACGGGAGGCAGCAGUAGGGAAUCUUCCACAAUGGACGAAAGUCUGAUGGAGCAACGCCGCGUGAGUGAAGAAGGUUUUCGGAUCGUAAAACUCUGUUGUUGGAGAAGAAUGUAUUUGAUAGUAACUGAUCAGGUAGUGACGGUAUCCAACCAGAAAGCCACGGCUAACUACGUG